rnacentral:tRNA from 1 species
GCCCGAGUGGCGGAAUUGGUAGACGCGCAUGGUUGAGGGCCAUGUUCCCGUUACAGGGAGUGGAGGUUCGAGUCCUCUCUCGGGCACCG